CAGGUGGUGCAUGGUUGUCGUCAGCUCGUGUCGUGAGAUGUUGGGUUAAGUCCCGCAACGAGCGCAACCCUUAUUGUUAGUUGCCAUCAUUCAGUUGGGCACUCUAGCGAGACUGCCGGUGACAAACCGGAGGAAGGUGGGGAUGACGUCAAAUCAUCAUGCCCCUUAUGACCUGGGCUACACACGUGCUACAAUGGACGGUACAAUGAGUCGCGAGACCGCGAGGUUUAGCUAAUCUCUUAAAGCCGUUCUCAGUUCGGAUUGUAGGCUG
rnacentral:rRNA from 1 species